UCCGCCACUGUGCUUGUCUGUUAAAGUGACAGUGUACUGUCCAGAGGAGGCUGAUAAUAACCCAGCUCUAGGAAGCAGGGCUGCUCAACUCCGUGGCUAACCCUGUGCCAAAAGGCCUGGAACAUGU